ensembl:lncRNA
AUUCGUCCAGCCAAGAUGUAAGACAGUCACUGCUAAGUGAUCUGACAUCCUCUGCAGAGAGGCAGAAACACAGCACUGUAGCAUUCCCGAGAUGGAGAAACUGAGCUGAUCUGAUUUUCUAAAGAUAGUUGGGACACUUUGAUCACAUAGAAGCAUUUCUUCACUGCUUCUUCACAUAGGAAAAAUUACACAUGAAAAAGGUGCUCACAGCAGAGUGGGGUUGGUCUCUUCUCACUGCUGUCAGGUGACAGGAUGAGGGAAAAGGCCUCAAGUUGUGCCAGUUUGCAUUGCAAGUGGGAGAAUGAACUGAAAUGAAGCUGCACUCUUUUUACCUCUCUGAGACAGGAAUCCUUAUUAAAGCUGGU